UACGUAGGGUGCAAGCGUUAAUCGGAAUUACUGGGCGUAAAGCGUGCGCAGGCGGUUGUGCAAGACAGUUGUGAAAUCCCCGGGCUCAACCUGGGAAUUGCAUCUGUGACUGUAUAGCUAGAGUACGGUAGAGGGGGAUGGAAUUCCGCGGUGUAGCAGUGAAAUGCGUAGAUAUGCGGAGGAACACCGAUGGCGAAGGCAAUCCCCUGGACCUGUACUGACGCUCAUGCACGAAAGCGUGGGGAGC
rnacentral:rRNA from 1 species